UACGUAGGGUGCAAGCGUUGUCCGGAAUUAUUGGGCGUAAAGAGCUCGUAGGCGGUCUGUCGCGUCGGCUGUGAAAACCCGGAGCUCAACUCCGGGCCUGCAGUCGAUACGGGCAAACUGGAGUGUUGCAGGGGAGACUGGAAUUCCUGGUGUAGCGGUGAAAUGCGCAGAUAUCAGGAGGAACACCGGUGGCGAAGGCGGGUCUCUGGGCAACAACUGACACUGAGGAGCGAAAGCGUGGGGAGCGAACAGG
rnacentral:rRNA from 1 species